CACACCGCCCGUCACAGCAUGGGAGUUGGUUCUACCUUAAGACGGUGCGCUAACCGCAAGGAGGCAGCCGGCCACGGUAGGAUCAGCGACUGGGCCG
rnacentral:rRNA from 1 species